rnacentral:rRNA from 1 species
CUGCUGCCUUCCGUAGGAGUCUGGUCCGUGUCUCAGUACCAGUGUGGGGGACCUUCCUCUCAGAACCCCUAUCCAUCGUGGACUUGGUGAGCCGUUACCUCACCAACUAUCUAAUGGAACGCAUGCCCAUCUAUCAGCGAUAAUUCUUUAACAAAUAUUUCCAUGUGGAACCCCUGUUUUAUGCGGUAUUAGUCCGACUUUCGCCGGUUAUUCCCUCUGAUAGGUAGGUUGCAUACGCGUUACUCACCGUGCGCCGGUCG